GCAAAACAAGUUGAGAAAUUCUCUAUUGAGUGUCUGUGCUGCCCUAGUGUGCGUGUCGGUGGGCCGCUAUAGUCGCAAUAGUUUUACAAAUUUAGUGAGCAAGCGCCAAACCGAGUGAAAGUGACCCUAAAACAAGAGCCAAAGAUACUCAAAAGAAGUGCAUAAACCCCUUGAGAUAAACACAAUCAAUUAGCAAACAUGUCGGACAAUGAGGAGGUUGUUGCUGCCGCCGAGGAGCAGACCAAGACAAGCCCCGAUCCGGUGCCAGCCGCCGAUGACGAUGGCAGCAAGACCAGCGUCGUCACCGAACGCACCGAGGAGGUGAUUCCCGGCGAGACCGAGAAAAUGGUCACCGAAGCCAUUGACGAGGAUGGCGAUGUCGUUGAGGAGACAACCGAAGUGACCCGCAAGACCGUCAAGCGUACCAUGAAAAUAACCGAGACUUCGUCCACCACAAAGACAACAACGCUCACUACGCCGGCCAAGCUGUACGGCAAGGACUUGAGCGAAUACGAUGAUGUGGAUGUGGAGAGUCUGUUGGCGCAACUGUCGCCCGAGGAGAUAACCAUACUGGCCAAAGAGGUUGAUCCCGAUGACAACUUCCUGCCACCAGAUCAGCGCUGCAGCUACGAGUGUACCAAGGAUGCUACCGGGCCGCUGAAUCGCAAACAGCUCAUCGAGCAUAUUAACAAGCAGGCAAUCGAGACGCCCGAUCAGCCGGAGUUUGAGCCGUAUGUGCAGGGCAAGGUGCGCGGCAAGAAGUGGGUGCCACCACCAAGGGAUGCGCGUGACAUUGAGGCGGAGGAACAGAUCGCCAUUGACAUGGGCGAGGAGUACGAGCAUGCUCUCAAUGAUGCCACGCAGGAGGAAAUUAUCGACCUGGCUGCCAUUCUUGGCUUCCACUCGAUGAUGAACCAGGAUCAGUACCACGCCUCACUGCUGAACAAGGGCCAGCCGGUUGGCUUGGGCUGGGAUGGCAUCACAAAGUCCACACAGCAGAAGUUGUUCCCCAUGGAUCCGCCCAACAGCACAGAUGUGGAUGAGUCAAUCAAGCGCGUCAAGGAUGACGACAACAAGCUAGUUGACCUGAACUUGAAUAACAUUAAGAAUAUAUCGGAUGAGAAGUUCGAACAGCUCUUUGCAGCACUGCCUCAGAAUGAACAUUUGGAAGUUCUAUCGCUGACAAACGUCGGACUGACCGAUAAGACAGCUCUCCUGCUCGCCGAAGCGAUCGAGAAAAGCAAAACCCUGAGAGUAUUAAAUGUGGAAACCAACUUUAUCAGUCCGCCCGUAAUUGUCAGACUAGUGCAAGCUCUGCUCAAAUGCCACACCAUCGAAGAGUUCAGGGCCUCCAAUCAGCGAUCUGCGGUGCUUGGCAACAAGAUUGAAAUGGAGAUCACCAACUUGGUGGAGAAGAACCCAUCGCUACUGCGACUCGGCUUGCACCUGGAGUUCAACGAUGCGCGUCAUCGCGUGGCCGCCCAUCUGCAGCGCAACAUCGACAGAAUCUUCCGGGUGCAAAAACUUAAGCCCAAUUUGCCCAAAUUGAUAUUGCCCAGCAACAUGGAGAUUGAACGUGAUCUGGGUCACUCGGCAACGCCCUCGCCGUCGCCAUCGCCAUCACCGUCGCCACAGCCGCCGGCCGACUAUGAUGUGGAGGUGGAUCCGGAUAAUAUGGUCAUACGGGGCGGCGGCGGCGAUGCCUACGAUCCAGAGAUCGAUCCCGAUAAUAUGGUGGUGCCCGGCAGUCGGGCCGUGACGCCCAACUAUGACGACGAGGGCGUCUACCAAGCGCACACGAAUUAAACUGCGAUGUACAAUUUUUAAGUGAAACUAAAAACACAAAUAAAACAAAUAACAGCCUCAAAUAACAGCAAUAUAAAAUGAUUUAAAAAAUAUAUAUUUAAAAUUAAAAUAUAAAUGCCAUAGACCAAAAUGUCGAAGCAAUUUUUAUAAUUCAAUAAAGGCAGCAUCACACGAACAACAACAACAACCGCAACAAGAUAAACAAGAAUCCACUUGUAAAACCAUCUAGCAAAGCUCUCAGCGCCAAGCCAUGUCGAACAUACGUGUGAACCGCCUCAAUCAGCGUAAAUAAAAAGACAAAACAUGCCACAG
rnacentral:misc_RNA from 1 species